AAACAUCAAAUCCAAUUCUAACAAGAGUGAUCUCUGUCUAAUCCGAUAAAUCAUUGCGUGUAACCCGCAAAUAGGUUUAUCUGAUAGUUCUCAUACGAUUCAGAGAUUAAUCCAGAAAGUUGGACCGGGAUAAUAAUGAUUCCAACAAGAAACCAAAAGGGGGUUGUUGGAGAUGUGGCAAACCGGGGCAUUUCAAGAAAGAUUGUCGUGUGAAGAUUACUAGUGGAAACAAAGCUAACAUAGCGGGUCCAAGUGGGUCGAAAGAUCCGAAUGCUUCACAAGAUGACAUGCUUGCAUGGUGGGUAGACUCGGGUGCUACGAGUCACGUUUGCAAGGAUCUCAAAUGGUUUCAGGAAUUUGAACCACUUGAAGAUGGAUCUGUACUAAGGAUGGGGAAUGUUGCAACUGAGCCCAUCAAAGGAGUUGGAAAAGUUAGACUUGUAUUUACUUCUGGAAAACAUCUAUUAUUAGAUAAUGUGUUGUAUGUACCAGGGAUUCGAAAGAAUCUCUUAUCUGGAAUUGUAUUAAACAACUGUGGUUAUAAACAGGUCAUUGAGUCGGAUAAGUUUAUCUUGUCUCGACAUGGAACCUUUGUAGGAUUUGGAUAUUUAUGUAAUGGCAUGUUUAU
rnacentral:lncRNA from 1 species